UUCUGCGGAGGUUGUUUAGCCUGCACAAAACGAAAAGUCUCACGGCAAUUCCGCAUGCAUAUAUUUGAAAAUGUGUCAGCGUACGCCUACAGCAAGAUCAACGGAAGGUUGCCUGACGUCAAGGAGGUGUGGCUGUGAACACACCCCAUUGGCUGGACAAAAUGGUUAAAUGGCUGCUCUGAAUGAAUGGAACCACUAGCUACAACUUUGGACGCAGAGAGCUUCUUCUACGUUGACAGCUACUUCACAAGAAGACUUCUUUACACGACCUGAAUCAACUCUUAAAAAGGUGGGCAGAUGCCUCCACCCCCAUCAUACGUGUCAAUGCUGGAAUGUUCUGGGAACAUAAAAUUGUUAGUAGGGAUGUUGGUGGGUUUCCUCACAUGAACUGCUCACUUCAGGUCCUUCCACAACAUUUCGAUUGGAUUAAGUUCAGGACUUUGACUUGGCCAUUCCAAAACAUUAACUUUAUUCUUCUUUAACCAUUCUUUGGUAGAAUGAUGUGUGCUUAGAGUCGUUGUCUUGCUGCAUGACCCACCUUCUCUUGAGAUUCAGUUCAUGGACAGAUGUUCUGACAUUUUCCUUUAGAAUUUGCUGGGGUAAUUCAGAAUUUAUUGUUCCAUCAAUGAUGGCAAGCCACCCUAGCCCAGAUGCAGCAAAACAGGCCCAAACCAUAAUACUACCAUCACCAUGUUUCACAGAUGGGAUAAGGUUCUUACAGUAUAGCCUUACAGCAGUCUGUGUGGUUUUCAUGGCUGCAGUAUGGCAUAGUUAUGGCAAGACAAAUUAAGCUAUGCUCCCUAGGUAAACUUUUCACUCUCUGCAGAAUGAAAUUCCAUGAACAUUUUGAGCUUGAUGGUUGCGAUGGAAUGCUACAGUAGCCCUGGUAGCCCACAUACAUAAGCCUCAGGUAUGCUUUGAUGGUUGCGACAGAUAAAUUCAUCUGGCACUUGACACACAGCUAUUUUUAACAUUACAAAACUUUCUGGGGAUGGAAACAAUGCCCUCCCAGUUAUCAAGGUAGCUCCCUGGCUCUCACAUAUUCUGACGGAAGGGCCAGGAACACAUGCCUGGGUGACCCCCGGAAGGCUCAAAAUUGCCUAUUGGCGUCUACUGUGAAGUGGUUCCAGUUAUGUGAGACCAUAGCUUUAAGUCCUAGGCACCGGGAGGUGUGGUUCACCCAGACAGACAUACCCAAAAUUAAUCAAAAAUUGUUCCACAAUCAGACAUCAGAAAAUAUAUUUCCAGUGUCAGUAAUAUUGUGACUGUAACUAUGCCUGAGUAAAUUGUGAUAAACUGAAGGAGGAAUUUUAUUCUAAAUUAGACAGAGGAUAGCACCAUGAUAGCAAGGCUCCCAUGCACAAAGAUGCCACUUUUUCAUUCAGCAGUUCCUUGACUACAACUGCACAAAAAAACAACACAGAAAUACCACAAAGUUCAUAGAAACUGUGUGUACAUAGAUACACAUCCAUCCACUAUCUGUAACCGCUUAUCCUGUUCUACAGGGUUGCAGGCAAGCUGGAGCCUAUCCCAGCUGACUAUGGGUGAGAGGCAGGGUACACCCUGGACAAGUUGCAGGGCUGACAGAGACAAACAACCAUUCACACCUACAGUCAAUUUAGAGCCACCAUUUAGCCUAACCUGCAUGUCUCUGGACAGUAGGGGAAUCCAGAGCACCCAUGGGAAACCCACGCAGACACAGGGAGAACAUGCAAACUCCACACAGAAAGGCCCUUGCCAGCCGCUGGACUCAAACCCAGGACCUUCUUGCUGUGAGGCGACAGUGCUAACCACUACACCACCAUGCCACCAGAGAUGCACAUAGUUUUAGUAAAUAUAGAACUUACCAAAACAGCAUUUUUAAAAUUUAUUUUUACUAGAAGUCAACUAUAGAUUCUAUUAAACCCGGUACCACAUCCGUCAUAAUUAAGUAUUGGCUAAACUAGUUGGUUUGUUUGAGCAAUGACUAAGUGAGAAUAAGGACUUUCAUGUUAAGUUGGUGAUGCCAGUUUAUCCCUAUAUUUAUCCCUACAUAAACCUGAUCCAUUUGUAAACCUUACAUUUCUUCCUUAUUCCUUAGUAUUUAUUAUUAUUUAUUCAUGUUUGAAUAGCAUUGGUAUUAAUUGUCCUAAAAUUUACUAUCAGCAUCUUUUUUCCCAUGACCCUCUGCUUUUUGUUACCAAUUCUUGUUCUUGUUUAUCUUGAAGAAUUUCACACACUGGCCCCUUCGGGAGAUGAACUUGGCAAGCCAAAAAACAGCCCUGUUUCCUCGAAUUUAAUUCUCAGUAGGGGAGAGCGGGGUAAGAUGAGCCACUUUUUACAUUUUUCAUCAUAACUACAUGUUAAAGCCAUUUUUGCUUCCAGUCUACACACCAUACCAAAUUUCAAAGUGUACUGUUACUAUCUGAGCAAAACAUAAUUGAUAAGCUCUUAUGGUUAGAGUGAUAUUACCUCUUGAAAAAAAAAUGUCAAGUGGCUCAACUUACCCCAUGCACGGGGUAAGAUGAGCCACUGUGUGGGGUAAAUUGAGCCAACACAAAACAUGUUAGGUUAACAAAGUAAACAACUUUUAUUAUUAGAAAUGCAAUCAGUGAAUCAAGUCAAGUCAAUCAAGUGGGGGAUAGGGCCGUUGCAUAGAGAAGGGGAGAUGAAGAGAGAGGUGAUAGAAUGAGAUGGGAUAGGGAGGGAUAGAUAGAUGGAGAGAGAGAGAGAGAUAUGCGUAGAUAGAUAGAAAGAGGGAUGGUUAGAGAGGGAAUGAGAGAUGUACUAUAUUAUAGAAAUUACUAAAACAGUAGAACAGUGCCAAAAAAUCUUAUUUCUUUCAGUAAGUUAAAACAUGCAGCAAUCAUUCCAUCCAUAAUAAUUUCAUCAUUAUUCAAUGUUCCAAGCGUUCAAAUUGCAAGGGAACACCAUUUGCCUCUCCCUCCGUGCUGUCCCCCCAACAGUAAAGGGGCGGGGCAAUUUUUUCACAAUAUCCUGUCUUGACAGGACAGCCUCAUCUUUCUCUUUGAAGACAAAGGUUGGCUUUCUUGCAGAGCCAUGGCAUGACCGGCUUCUUUUGAGAAAUCUUGCCUCUAUUUCGAAGACAUCCAAUUUGAUUAUCUGGCCAAUGAAGAAAUGCACUUUAUUCUUCCCUGUGAAUUUUGCCACAACAUAAUCCCCCACAUCUAACAACUGGU